CCCUUAGAUGUCCUGGGCCGCACGCGCGUUACACUGAUGCAUUCAACGAGCUUAUAACCUUGGCCGAGAGGCCUGGGCAAUCUUGUUAACGUGCAUCGUGAUAGGGAUAGAUUAUUGAAAUUAUUAAUCUUGAACGAGGAAUUCCUAGUAAUCGCAGAUCAUCAAUCUGCAUUGAUUACGUCCCUGCCCUUUGUACACACCGCCCGUCGCACCUACCGAUUGGAUGGUCCGGUGAAGCCUCGGGAUUGUGGUUCUUGCCGCUUUAUUGUGGCGUGACCGCGAGAACUUGUCUAAACCUUAUCAUCUAGAGGAAGGUGAAGUCGUAACA
rnacentral:rRNA from 1 species